GAUUGAGGUUGAGGAGCAGUGAUUAUUAGUAUUUAAAGAGUUAAGGCCAAUUUUUCUUUAAAGAAAGGGGUCAUUGCCGAAAUUUAGAUUCAAUUUGGUACAUUGAAUUUAGGUUGGGCUUAAAGUUAAUAACUUUAAGACUGUCAUCAGCUAAACUGGUGGAGGACUAUCUUAAUC
rnacentral:ncRNA from 1 species